UACGUAGGUGACAAGCGUUGUCCGGAUUUACUGGGCGUAAAGAGCGCGCAGGCGGUCGAUCAAGUCGAGUGUGAAAGCCCCCGGCUCAACUGGGGAGGGUCAUUCGAAACUGGUCGACUCGAAGGCAGGAGAGGGUAGUGGAAUUCCCGGUGUAGUGGUGAAAUGCGUAGAUAUCUGGAGGAACACCGGUGGCGAAGGCGGCAUCCUGGACCGGUAUUGACGCUGAGGCGCGAAAGCCAGGGGAGCAAACGGG
rnacentral:rRNA from 1 species